CCAAUAGCGUAUAUUAAAGUUGUUGCAGUUAAAAAGCUCGUAGUUGAAUUUCGGGGUUCUACCGUUGGUCGGGCAAUAGUCUGUACUGGCGUGUGGAAUUUCUACCUUCUGGGGAACCAUCAUGCUAUUUAUUUAGCGUGAUGGGAAACCAGAACCUUUACCUUGAAAAAAUUAGAGUGUUCAAAGCAGGCUUACGUCUGAAUACAUUAGCAUGGAAUAAUAAAAUAGGACGGUGGUCCUGUUCUGUUGGUUUCUGAAUCACCGUAAUGAGUAAUAGGGAGAGUUGGGGGCAUUAGUAUUCAAUGGUCAGAGGUGAAAUUCUUGGAUUUAUUGAAGACUAACUUCUGCGAAAGCAUUUGCGAAGGAUGUUUUCAUUAAUCAAGAACGAAAGUUAGGGGAUCGCAGACGAUCAGAUACCGUCGUAGUCUUAACCAUAAACUAUACCGACUAGGGAUCGGACGAUGUUAAUUUUUCUUGACUCGUUCGGCGCCUUACG
rnacentral:rRNA from 1 species